rnacentral:rRNA from 1 species
UCAGUUCGGAUCGGAGUCUGCAACCCGACUCCGUGAAGCUGGAUUCGCUAGUAAUCGCGCAUCAGCCACGGCGCGGUGAAUACGUUCCCGGGCCUUGUACACACCGCCCGUCAAGCCAUGGAAGCCGGGGGUGCCUGAAGUGCGCUGCCGCAAGGAGCGCCUUAGGGUAAAACCGGUGACUGGGGCUAAGUCGUAACAAGGUAGC